AUUAGUGCCCAUUUAAUGGCUGACCUGCCCUCCUCUCGUUAGGCAGCGCAGCAUGCGUGCGUGCGCGCACACACACACACACACACACACACACACACACACACUCCUUCGACUCUCCAGUGUCGCACUGCCUCGGGCCUCUCUGCAACACUUCCACCCCUCGCUGAGACCACACAAUAGACCCGUUAGUGAAAGGGCUGCCCUGUGAUCAGCAGUGCAUCCAUUUGCUGAGUUUCCAGCGUGCAGCUCUGUGAUUUCUGCAGGCAGUGGCCGUCAUGCGACAGACGCUACGGAAUAAAAGAGGAAGAAAAGUCCAGUUUUGAAGGGAAACUUCUAACUUCACGUCCAGUGGAGGUUAAUGAGAGUUUUGAUGAGUGGAUUUGAGAGGAAACUGUAAGCAGUGACGUACUGGAUGUUGUGAUGUAAACUGUGUUAAAAGUGUAACUUUUUUGAAAAGAAGUGGAGUUUGUCUGCAGAAACUAUUUGUCUUAUCUUGAGCAUAUCACCCACCAGGUCUUAGUUUGUUGAUUCCAUGUCAGACAUUUACUUCCUCAUUAUUCAUGAUGAUUCCAGGUGUUUCUAUAGAUUUUCAUGUCCUCGUGUCAAGUCUUGUUUUCAUUUCCUUCCUUGUUCAUUUCAAGAGUUUCCUGCUCGCUGUGUCCUUGAUGUGUUUUAUUAAAAUAAAUCGUUUCUUGGCGGCCUGAGUUUG